UUGCGUCCCGUCGACGAAGUCGC
rnacentral:misc_RNA from 1 species